ACACUGUUGAGGUGUCCCAAAAUAGGACGAAACGGUCGUCCAGUGC
rfam:Schistosoma haematobium scaffold1512_11, whole genome shotgun sequence.